UAGUGUUGCAGCGCUUUUAGAAUUUGUCUAGCAGGUCUUCCGGUCCUUACCAGAAGGCCCAA
rnacentral:snRNA from 1 species